UCAUGCAACAGCUAUUCAGUAUUCCAUUUUUUUUAAAAGCCCUCGAUCUCUCCUAGCUUUUCCCUCUCUAUACUUACCCUAUAUUUCUAGGGCGUGUGUUAAACCCUAAUCAGUGAAGAGGAGAUGGAAUGGAAUGCAGAGACGCUCCAAUUUCUCUCUCACUGCUUCCUCAACACGCUCUCUCCGGCGCCGGAGCCACGCCUCGCAGCCGAGUCACAGCUCUCUGAGGCUGCGAACCGACUCAACUACGGCCUCGUUGUGCUCCGCUUGGUCUCGGAGCCAUCGGUUGACGAGCAGAUUCGCCAUGCCGCUGCAGUUAACUUCAAAAACCACCUCCGCUUCCGGUGGGCUUCAGUCCGGGAUUCCACUCUCUCCCCGAUUGCCGACCAGGAGAAGGAUCAGAUCAAGGCCCUGAUCGUGUCUCUCAUGCUCAGGUCGUCGGCUCGAGUUCAGAGCCAGCUCAGCGAGGCUCUCGCCGUAAUUGGGAAGCAUGAUUUUCCGAAGCAUUGGCCCGCGUUGCUCCCUGAGCUUGUGAUCAGUCUCCAGCAGGCUUCACAAUCUGCGGACUACGCAUCCAUUAAUGGUAUUCUUGGUACUGCCAAUUCUAUAUUUAAGAAAUUUCGAUAUGAGUACAAAACAAAUGAUUUGCUGUUUGAUUUGAAGUAUUGUUUGGAUAAUUUUGCGGCACCGUUACUAGAGAUUUUUCUUAAAACUGCUGCGAUAAUUGAUUCCCAAGUGAGUUCUGGUGGGUCUGCUGUGACUCUUCGUCCACUGUUUGUGUCGCAGAGGUUGUGUUGUAGAAUAUUCUAUUCGUUAAACUUUCAAGAGUUGCCCGAAUUCUUCGAGGAUCAUAUGAAAGAGUGGAUGGGUGAGUUUAGGAAGUACCUAACAACAAAUUAUCCUGCACUUGAGAGUAGUGGGGAUGGGCUUGCACUCGUUGAUGAGCUUAGGGCUGCAGUUUGCGAGAAUAUUAGUCUUUAUAUGGAGAAAAAUGAGGAAGAGUUUAAAGACUACUUAAAUGAAUUUGCCAUUGCUGUGUGGACUUUACUUGGAAAUGUAUCUCAGUCUUCAAGCCGUGACAAGCUAGCUGUCAUGGCAAUCAAGUUCUUGACCACCGUGAGCACAAGCGUGCACCAUGCAAUGUUUGCAGGUGAAGGAGUUAUACCACAGAUCUGUCAAGGUAUCGUCAUUCCAAAUGUGCGGUUAAGGGAAGAUGAUGAGGAGCUCUUUGAGAUGAAUUAUGUUGAGUUUAUCAGGAGAGAUAUGGAAGGGAGUGAUGUUGAUACGAGGAGGAGGAUUGCAUGUGAAUUGCUUAAAGGGAUUGCGACAAAUUAUAAGGAACAAGUGAUGAAAAUGGUCUCUGAGCUGGUACAAAAUUUGCUGAGCUCAUUUGCUGCAAAUCCAAUUGCAAACUGGAAGGACAAAGACUGCGCAAUAUACUUGGUUGUUUCACUUGCGACUAAGAGGGCUGGAGGAACUUCUGUGUCAACUGAAAUUGUUGAUGUUCUGAGCUUUUUCGCCUCUGUUAUAGUUCCGGAGUUACAGAGUCAAGAUGCCAAUGGGUUUCCCAUGCUCAAGGCAGGUGCACUGAAAUUUUUCACAAUGUUCCGGAGUCAUAUACCGAAACCUGUUGCACUUCAGUUGGUCUCGGAUGUGGUCAGUUUCCUUGGUGCAGAAUCAAAUGUAGUUCAUUCUUAUGCUGCAAAUUGCAUAGAGAAACUUUUGCUGGUCAAAGAUGAGGGGGGAAGAGCUAUGUAUACUUCAGGAGAUAUAAUUCCAAUUCUGCCUGUGCUGAUCAAAAACCUAUUCAAUGCGCUGAAGUUCCCUGAAUCUGAGGAGAAUCAGUACAUUAUGAAGUGUAUCAUGCGAGUUCUGGGUGCGGCUGAUAUUUCAGGAGAGGUUGCUGUAUUUUGUAUAAAUGGAUUGACCUUUAUCCUAAAUGCAGUUUGCAGGAAUCCAAAGAAUCCAAUAUUUAAUCACUAUCUUUUUGAGUCUGUGGCUAUGCUAGUGAAGCGGGCUUGUGAGAGAGACAUCUCUCUUAUCUCAUCUUUUGAAGAAAAACUUUUUCCUAGCAUUCAGGCAAUCUUGGCCAAUGACGUGGCCGAGUUUUUACCUUACGCAUUUCAGUUACUGGCUCAGCUUGUAGAGUUGAGUAGACCACCCCUCUCACCCAGCUACAUGCAAAUUUUUGUUCUCCUGCUACAACCUGACUCUUGGAAAAGAACUUCAAACGUCCCUGCUCUCGUGCGUCUGCUUCAAGCCUUCCUUCAGAAAGCGCCCCAUGAGCUCACCCAAGAGCGUAGGCUGGGGCAGGUGCUUGGGAUAUUCGAAAUGCUCGUCUCGUCUUCAAGCACUGAUGAUCAAGGCUUCUACGUCCUCAACACUGUUAUUGAGAACCUGGAAUAUGGUGGUAUUGCGCCCUUUGUUAAUCACAUCUGGAGUACCUUGUUUGGGAGGCUCCAGAAACACCGAACAAUAAAGUUUAUCAAGUCCCUUCUAAUUUUCAUGUCACUUUUUAUUGUCAAGCAGGGUUCUGGGAACCUUGUGGACACGAUGAAUGCUGUUCAAUCAAAUAUAUUUUUGGUCAUUUUGGAGCAGUUUUGGAUACCCAAUCUGAAGCUGAUCAUUGGAACAAUUGAGCUGAAGUUAACUGCUGUUGCUUCCACCAGACUAAUCUGUGAAUCUCCUGUGCUUUUGGAUGCUGCUGGUGCAAGACACUGGGGGAAAAUGCUUGACAGCAUUAUCACCCUUCUUUCAAGGCCAGAGGAGGACAGAGUUGAAGAUGAGCCAGAAAUGCCAGAUAUUGGGGAUAAUAUUGGUUACACUGCUACCUUUGUUAGACUUUACAAUGCGGGGAAGAAAGAGGAGGAUCCUCUAAAGGACAUAAAGGAUCCAAAGGAAUUCUUGGUUGCAUCAUUGGCAAGGCUUUCCGCUACAGCUCCUGGGAGAUAUCCACAGAUAAUUAGUGAAAACCUUGAACCAGCCAAUCAGGCAGCUUUAAUGGAACUUUGCAGAACUUACAACUGCCCAAUCGUUUAAGGAAAUUCAACCCGCUUCACAAAUUUGAAUGAAGAAGCAUGAAACAUUUUAUGUAAGCACAUGCUUUGUGAUUAUCAUCAGAACAUUUCUCAACACCCCUCAUCUCCACCCUCUCACGACGCCACCAUGAACAUUGCCACUUCCAUAACUAGCAGUCUACUGAGACCUGAUUCUAUUAGGAUCAUAUAUAGCAACUUGCAGAAGAGGUAUCCUUUGAGUAUACUUUCAACAAGUUAUGUUCUCCCUAAAGUGAACUGAUGCUGUUGGUAAUCAACCCUCCCUUUGUGCAACUCUCUUGCAUCUUUUUUUAUGGCAGUGGUGAGUUGGUGACACCAAGAUUUAUGGUUAGUAUCUCUUGAGUCACCAGGAUUUGUGGUUAUUGUCUCUGGAGUCGACAUCAUCUCGCUUGCACAAGCAGAUGACAAUUCCACUGUGGUUGAUUGGGUUCGGAUGUAGAACAUUGUCUAGUCUGCCUGUGAAUUCUUUCUCAGCAAAGUGUGUUUCUGUGUUGUGGUCACAUGUCAUUUCCCUACACCUCUGCAUACGUUGUUCAUACAUGCAUUUUUGUAAUUGAGCAUACAAGGAAUAAAACUAUUUUUACUCUGAGGCUUGACAGAAUUACUUCAAAGGUGGAAGUUGUAGCUUUUAUUUUAUGUUUUGGUCAUCUAA